CACUGGCACAACAACUGCUGCUACAACAGCUGUAGUUGAAACAACCACCUCAGUGCCACAGCCCUCAACAACUAGCCCUGAAACAACAGUUGUAACUUCAACACCAACCGUUGAGACGGAGACAACAGUGACCACAGAAGUAACAACAGAAGGUACUACAGCCAAACCCACUGAAACUUCCACAUCCGAGGUUUCAACAGCUGCGACUGUAUCAACAACAAAGCCACUUAAAGAAGAAACCACUGGCACAACAACUGCUGCUACAACAGCUGUAGUUGAAACCACUACCUCAGUGCCACAGCCCUCAACAACUAGCCCUGAAACAACAGUUGUAACUUCAACACCAACCGUUGAGACAGUGACAACAGUGACUACAGUGACUACAGCAGUAACAACAGAAGGUACGACAGAAAAACCCACUGAGACUUCCACAUCCGAGGUUUCAACAGCUGCGACUGUAUCAACAACAAAGCCACUUAAAGAAGAAACCACUGGCACAACAACUGCUGCUACAACAGCUGUAGUUGAAACAACCACCUCAGUGCCACAGCCCUCAACAACUAGCCCUGAAACAACAGUUGUAACUUCAACACCAACCGUUGAGACAGUGACAACAGUGACUACAGUGACUACAUCAGUAACAACA
ensembl:lncRNA